rnacentral:rRNA from 1 species
GAUGAACGCUGGCGGCGUGCUUCAUACAUGCAAGUCGAACGAGAAGUUACCUUCGGGUAACGGAAAGUGGCGGACGGGUGAGUAAUAUAUAGGAAAUCUGCCCUUAGGUGGGGGACAACAGUUGGAAACGACUGCUAAUACCGCAUAUGAGCUACACUGAAAUGUGUAUCUUGAAAACUCAGGUGCCUAAGGAUGAGCCUGUAGCUGAUUAGCUAGUUGGUGGUGUAAUGGACUACCAAGGCGACGAUCAGUAGCUGGUUUGAGAGGAUGAUCAGCCACAAUGGGACUGAGAUACGGCCCAGACUCCUACGGGAGGCAGCAGUGGGGAAUAUUGGGCAAUGGGGGAAACCCUGACCCAGCAACGCCGCGUGAAGGAAGAAGGCUUUCGGGUUGUAAACUUCUUUUACCAGGGACGAAGACGUGACGGUACCUGGAGAAAAAGCCACGGCUAACUACGUG